AAGGAUUCCCCUAGUACUGCGAGUGAAGCGGGAAAAGCUCAAAUUUAAAAUCUGGUGGUCUUUUGGCCAUCCGAGUUGUAAUUUAGAGAAGCGUCUUCCGCGCUGGACCGUACACAAGUCUCCUGGAACGGAGCGUCAUAGAGGGUGAGAAUCCCGUCUUUGGUACGGACCCCCAGGGCUUCUGUGAUGCGCUCUCGAAGAGUCGAGUUGUUUGGGAAUGCAGCUCAAAAUGGGUGGUGAACUCCAUCUAAAGCUAAAUAUUGGCGAGAGACCGAUAGCGAACAAGUACCGUGAGGGAAAGAUGAAAAGCACUUUGGAAAGAGAGUGAAACAGUACGUGAAAUUGUUGAAAGGGAAACGCUUAAAGUCAGUCGCGUCCACCGAGACUCAGCCUUGCUCUGGCUUGGCGUAUUUCUCGGUUGACGGGUCAGCAUCAAUUUUGUCCCUCGGAUAAUGGCAAGGGAAAGGUGGCACCUUUGCGGGUGUGUUAUAGUCUUUUGUCGCAUGCGAGGGGUGAGAUUGAGGAACUCAGCACGCGCACCUUCUCGGUGUGUCGGGGCCUCGGCCCACGCCACGUGCUUAGGAUGCUGGCGUAAUGGCUUUAAACGACCCGUCUUGAAACACGGACCAAGGAGUCUAACAUGCCCGCGAGUGUUCGGGUGGAAAACCCGUGCGCGUAAUGAAAGUGAAAGUUGGGACCUUCGUCGUGAAGGGCACCGACGCCCGGACCAGACCUUCUGUGACGGAUCUGCGGUGGAGCGUGCAUGUUGGGACCCGAAAGAUGGUGAACUAUGCCUGAAUAGGGUGAAGCCAGAGGAAACUCUGGUGGAGGCUCGUAGCGAUUCUGACGUGCAAAUCGAUCGUCAAAUUUGGGUAUAGGGGCGAAAGACUAAUCGAACCAUCUAGUAGCUGGGUUCCUGCCGAAGUUUUUCCUCUCA
rnacentral:rRNA from 1 species